GUCCCAGAUGAGCAGAAGCCAGGGGGAGUUGCAGUGACGCGCCCGUGAGCUCCGCCGGCAGCCAGCCGUGCCUGAGUGACCGAGCCUAAUGGCUGUUCUACAGUAAUUAUACUAUUUUGUGCGCACACCUCCUCCAUGAAACUUAAGCCGAUGACGAACUAAAUAAAUGAAAACCUUGAACACCCUGGGAAUGCUUUUCAGGGUGGAACUCAUGGCGGGUUCACGCCCUCGGCCCACGCCCCUCUGAAGAGGAAACACCUGGGCCUCAUCAGUGCAGCCAGCCUUUAAGCCAGGGAGUGGCUUCUACUCAUCGCUGGAUCGUUGUGUGUGACUCGCAUCCCCUGGACCCGACCCUGCAUUCCCUGAGUGGAUUCCUGUUUUUUUGUGAGUGUUUGGAGAGAGACUGGUCACGAUAGGAGAGAGUCAGAAGAGGAGCAAGUGUCUUUUCCCUACCUGGAAUUUCCCGGAGCCUUUUCCCUGUCACUGCUUUGUAUAUAGCACUACCCCUGCACUAUUUGUA
ensembl:lncRNA